rnacentral:lncRNA from 1 species
UGUAAUGAUUGAUAAUUUAGUUUCAGAUGCAUUACUUUUUAUUAGUUGUAAUUGGCUUUGAACUAGCUGUCAGUAAUUGCGAGUACUCUCAGAUCUAUACUUAGUGUCUUUUUGUUGAUGUGAUGUACAAGUACUCGGUCACGUCCACUCUCUGUUUUUGUUAGAUGUAUUUCUAUUUGUAUCCAUCUCAUGAGUUAAUCCCUUUUCAACUGAUUUGUAUAGUUCGUUCUUAUGUUGUACUGUUACACCACUGUCCCAGGUUAAGGGGAGGGUUGGGGUCCCGCUAACAUGUUUAACCUCGCCACAUUCUGUAUGUAUGUGCCUGUCCAAAGCCAGAAGUCUUUAAUUCAGUGGUUGUCGUUUGUUGCUGUGUUACAUAUUUGUUUUUUGUUAUUUUUUUAUACAUAAAUUAGGCCGUUAGUUUUCUCCUUUGAAUUGUUCUACAUUUGUCAUUUCAGGACCUUUUAUAGCUAACUAUGCGGUAUGAGCUUUGCUCAUUGUUGAAGGUCGUACAGUGACCUAUAGUUGUUAAUUUGUGUGUCACAUGGUCUCUUGUGAAGAGUUGUUUCAUUUGCAAUCAUACCACAUCUUUUUUUUUUUUUUUUAUAUCAUAUGCUCAUAUGCAUUGAUAAUUUUCUUGAAAUAAUUAUAGUUUUUUGUUUAAUAGAUGUAUCCAUCUGAUGAGUUAAGCCUUAUUGUUGUCAAUGUUUUUAUUUGUUUUGAUGCUUUAUAUGUUUACAGGAUAUUUUCUAGUGUUUUACCUCUUGUGUUUUACGUGGCGAGGAUCUUCAGAGGUCUCCACGUUUCACAGAUUGUUCUGAUGUGCAACGACUGUUUUGCCAGACAAGCUGGGGCCGAGGGACGGCAGAGCACGUCCCAUAUCAAAAAGUAGAUAUUUCGCCGUAUAAACUAUGUUAACAACGAAAUGCGCAUCUGGUGCAGAAAAAUUGGUACCGUUAAUGUUAUUACUACCACUGGGUCGAUGCCUCUGCUGGUGGACUGUUAGUCCCCGAGGGUAUCACCAGCCCAGUAACCAGUACUUCGGUACUGGCAUGAAAAUACAGAUUUUUUUGUGUUAUUAAAAUUUGCUGUUACAAAAUGUUAUAAACUAUUAUAAAUUAAGGAAUGUAUCUCCCUCAUGCAAAGCUCUGAUUCCUUUCACGGAUUUGCCUAUACUUUUUGGACCUUUUGGAUUAUAGCUCUUCAUCUUUUAUAUAAGCUUUGGAUUUCAAAUAUUUUGGCCACGAGCAUCACUGAAGAGACACGUAUUGUCGAAAUGCGCAUCUGGUGCAGGAAAAUUGGUACCGUUAAU